rnacentral:rRNA from 1 species
GUACACUCCUGCGGGGAGGCAGCAGUGGGGAAUAUUGCACAAUGGGCGCAAGCCUGAUGCAGCCAUGCCGCGUGUAUGAAGAAGGCCUUCGGGUUGUAAAGUACUUUCAGCGGGGAGGAAGGCAAUACGGUUAAUAACCGUGUUGAUUGACGUUACCCGCAGAAGAAGCACCGGCUAACUCCGUGCCAGCAGCCGCGGUAAUACGGAGGGUGCAAGCGUUAAUCGGAAUUACUGGGCGUAAAGCGCACGCAGGCGGUCUGUCAAGUCGGAUGUGAAAUCCCCGGGCUCAACCUGGGAACUGCAUUCGAAACUGGCAGGCUUGAGUCUUGUAGAGGGGGGUAGAAUUCCAGGUGUAGCGGUGAAAUGCGUAGAGAUCUGGAGGAAUACCGGUGGCGAAGGCGGCCCCCUGGACAAAGACUGACGCUCAGGUGCGAAAGCGUGGGGAGCAAACAGGAUUAGAAACCCUGGUAGUCCCAUG